rnacentral:misc_RNA from 1 species
CCGAGUUAUUACUCCAAACCCUUUGUGAACCUUACCUCUUUGUUGCUCGGCGCGCCGCGGGCCGCGGCUUCGGCCCGUCCCGCAGCGCGCCAGAGGACCCAACUCUUCAUUUAUAGCGUACCUUCUGAUUUACAAAACAAACAAGUUA